AACAAUGCAGGGGUGACUCACUGCCUGUGACUCACAGGCCUGUGGGUCCUAAGGUCCUGUCAGCAAAGGGCAAACGUCUCAUUGUUGUCCCUUUACAUCCUCUGAGAUGGAGGGUCUCCCCAGCCUGGCCUCCUACUCCAACCCAGUGUAACUGCCACCAUACACUCAAGAAGUCAUGGUGAGAUUGAGAUGGCCUUAAGAUGGAUUUUCCAUCAGAGGACCCAGAAGUACUCAAACCUUUCCUAGCCUCUCAGCCCCUCACAAGAAAAGGAUGAAAGGAGAAGUUGGUGGUCUGCAACCUGCAAGAGUGCCCCCACCAGACCCCGCCAUGUUGGACCUGAUCUUGGACUUCUCAGCCUCCAGAACUGUGAGAAAAGGAAUUGGGACACAGAGAGGUAAGUAACUUGUUCAAGAAGCAGAGGCAAGAUUUGAAUCCAGAGACUCAGACUCCAGAGUGGUUAUUUUAGGAAGGAGAAGCAAAAAAGGGAAGAAGUGAAGCUGGUGCACUAAUCAAAUGUGCCCCGGAGGUUUGUCUGUUCUUAGGACCGGAUCCCCACUGAAAUAUGUGGUGAAGAUCUCAGCUGGGAGGAAGCUCUGGGUGGGUAUUCCACACCCCCACCCCAUUGCAGACAUUGCUCUUUGAGCCAUCCCAGGUGGGUUUCGGGUGGAGGGAGUAGUUUCUCCUGCCUUUCAGGAUCUCUGUUGAAAGAGAUCAUCAACCUCUCACCCAACUCAUACAUCCCAGGCAGUCCAGACCCAGCCAGUGUGGGAGGGGGGAGGGGCAGGGCCUGGCAUCUCUCAGAAUGUGGAAGGAAAGGUCCUCCAUAGCACACAGGCUGGGGAUUUGAGCGAGCAGCUGGAUGACAGCACUGCUGACUUGCAGAAGACAUCUGUUGGCACGCAGACGGUGUGAAGGAAAGCUUGUAAUUGCAGCCAUAAAUCAAACGCGGACAGAGGAAAAACUGUCAAACUUUUUGGAAUCAUUUUGUACAGAAGAGGUAGAAAAAUGCAGCUGUGAUGUGAUCGCUGGGCUGACUGGACGUUGGCAGAGAGAGGAUUCAUGGGGUCAUGGUGGAGUGUGGGGGGGUCCCCUGCCUCAGAAAGCUAUUGCUGUGCCCUUCACUUUCAGGAUGACAGAAUAGCCAGUUCCCCAGAGGAAGAGGCCCCUUCAUCAUGGGACUGUCCUGGGGACAACUGUGAACUAAGCUCAGUUUAUCUUUAGCCUUGUUCUCUUUCUGAAUUUGAUUCUACCUCUGCCACUUAUAGCUCUGUGCCCUUCAGCAAGCCACUUAAAGAAAAUGACUGUCUGUCUUCAGUGCCUGCUACGUUAACUCUUGGGGUUGGCCUUCUCAGCUGGAGUUCACCUUCCUCAGUAACAGAGCCUGAUUCUAUUCAGGCAAACACCUUCAGCCAGCCCUGGCCUUCUGCCAGCUGGGGCCAUCCCUAGUCCCCGAAGGUAGAUUCCGAUUGGUUCAAGCCAAUCAGAGUGGCCCAAUCUCUUACCUGUGAUUGGCUUAGGCAUGGCCAUGGGACCCAAUUCUGAUCAGUGAGAAGAGGAAGUCUAUAAGGGAUGCCUCAGGGGAAGGUUUCUCAUCUUAAUCUCACAGGAGGAGAUGGUUUCUUUAAACCUCUGGAUGUUGUGUGCAGAACCACUUUAGGCACCCGGCUCCUAGCCUGAAGCUGACUACAGCACUGAGGACAGCAGAGCAGAGAGGGGGGAAGGAGUUGGGUCCUUGGUGUUGUCAUCGAGCUGCUAAAUUAACCUUGCCUGGAGCCAGCCUACCUUGUGAUUUCUUGUUAUAUAAGAUGAUACAUUUCUUAUUGUUUAAGCCACUUUGAGUUGGGUUUUCUGUUAAUGGCAGUUAAAAGUGUCCCUGCUGCUUCUAUGCUUCACUGAAAAAUGGGUAGGAAAAGUAUGUUCCCUCUCAUGUUAGAGAGCCCCAUAGCUGGUUGCCUGGUCCCCAUGUGUCAUUCUCUUUUAGCUUUUCCUAGCAAGCCACACCCCAGGGUGCAAACACAUCCCUUGGAAGGCGAGAUGGGUGGGCUCAAGUAAUGACCACUUUGCCCUUCCAACGCUCAGGCUGUUUUGCUGGAUAGAGCUCAUUAUGGCAGGUUUGUUCCUCACUCAGGCAGACAUAGAAGGAUCUUAGGAAGUGCCUGUCCUAUAACUGUCUCUCACUGCUUGUUUUACGGGUGCCUUGCCUCAGUGUGUGCUAUCAAUUGGAAUUAUGAGAUAUUUUACACUCAAAAUUGUGUUGGACAAUGUUGAUGAAUUAUUAAGUAUCCACUGUCUAGUUUGCCUUGGAAUGUCUCAUGCCACCUGAGUGUAUAUGAGGUGAGGACUGAAAACUCCACCACCUCCAGCUGGAGAUCUCUGGAUUUCUAGUAAAGGAUAGUGAAGACACUUCCCCAUCUGCGACUCUCCCAGCUCAGCUCUUUGCCUGGGGAAGGAGCUGAUUAAUGGGGGAUGCUUUCUGAUGUCAAGAAAAGGAAUAUUAAAGGCCUACACCUUUUCCUCUCUCCUCAUGAUAUGAAUUGAAUUGUGUCCCCCAGAUUUGAUGUAUUAGAAGCUUGAUCCCCACUGUGACUGCUAAGAGGGUGAGAAAUCCUAUUAUGGUAAUUGGAAGGUGGGGCCUUGAAGAGGUGAUUAGAUUGUAGGACCAUGCAGUAGUGAAUGGAUUAAUAAUGGUGGUCAGGGGCGUGGUUCUAGGAACUUCAAAAAGGGAGCACAUGAGAGUCUCUCUCUCUUGUUCCUGCCAUUCUUGCCAUGUGACACCCUGCAUUACUGAGUCAUCUCACCAGAUGUGUUCCCUGGACUGUGGAUUUCCCAGCCUCCAAAACUGUAAGCAAUAAAUUUUGUUUUCUAAUAAAUUACUCAGAUCCAGGUAUUUUGUUAUAAGCAACAGAAACGGACUAAUACACCCCGCCUCCAAGCCAGACAGCUGGGCCAUUGAGAUACUGUUCCUUGUCUAUUUCUGAGAUUCUGGGUGGAGGAGGCAGCAGUGGUCAGGGAGGAGUCUGCUCCUGCGCAAGUGGACUCCCAGCUUGCAUCCUGUAUUUGACUAAUGUGUCCUAAACAAGUAGGCUUUGGUUUAGGCUUCUGUUAAGAUCCUGGAGGUCAAAGAGUUCAGGUCAAAUAGCCCCCAGGGAGGACUCAAAAGAUUGGAAAUGGACUGUCUCUACUGUUACCCACACUUAAUUCCUCCUAGGGAGCUCUGUAAGUCCCAGCUGAACCUGUGAGUAGAUACUCUGGGAGGGCAGGACUGUAGGAACUCUGAGCCCAGCUGAGCCCCAGUGAGCCAGGGACAACCUCAUCAGCACGAGGACAGAGGUAGACCUUGGCCAGGAGAAAGCAUGGGGCUCUUUUGGACUUUAUAUGACCAGCCUGUGGUACUCACAAGGGCUUCUUCUUGCUCAUGGAAAUAGAUCAUGUUUUGCUGCAGGCAGUAAGCAACCUUCCCUGCUACCUUCAGCUAGGAGGAAACAGACCAGCAACUCAGAGAGCAGCCUCUGGAGUCUGCCUAAGUUCAAAUCCUGGCUGUGCCAUUACUUGUGUGACCAUGGACUAGUUAUGUGACCCCUCUGUGUCCCAUUUCCUCAUCUAUACGAUGCUUUUAGAGAGUGGCCAGGAAUGUUAGAAGAGUUGAUACAGGGAGUGCACUCAGAUCAGGUGUGUGCCCAACAAUUGUGAGCUAUUAUCAUGAACUCAGGUCAUCCAGAGCAGGUGGCUGGGUUCCCUCCCAGAGGCCUUCGCAGUCUAGUUGCUUUGAGUCUUACCUGCCCCCUCCCCAUUUGUCAAACAUGCCUACAUGCCAUGCCUUCUGACCCCCAGUCCUGAUUCUCAUUCUGCUCCCCUGCUGGCCUUGUGAAGUAGGUGGUCCUGUGUUAAUGUUCUCAUUUGAUUGAUUCCUGCAGGUUAAGGAGGUUCAGGAAGCAGCUGAGCAUGUGUCAUAUAGCAGCUCUGUGUAAGGGGAACAGUCUUAGUCCAAGUGCUGGCCUGCUCUCACCAUGCCGUUCUGUGUCCUGCGAGAGAACCUGGUGUCAGAAGCCUGGGUCGCCCAUCCUAUGAUACAGUAAAGUGGCUCAACAGCCCUCGCAGGCUAAUCAAUGGCAAUCCCCCAGUAGAGAAUGGUGCAGGAAGAAAAUACUAAUUAAGUCAAGGAAGAUUUAGAUGAAGAAACAGAGGCUCAGAGAGAUGCAGUCCCAUGGCUUCAGACAGAAGAACAGCAUGUGACUGAGCAUGUAGAGGCAUGGACCCAGAGUUAUUGACCUCCUUUCUCCAGCUCUUAGAGGGGAGGCUGACCUCUGACACAAAGGCAAGGAGGGCGGAAUAAGCCUGUGGAGGUGCAGGGACGGGUGAUGGUAUGGCAGUGUCCAGCUCAGAAGCCACACACAGAAAGCCAGACCCAGGCUUUUGGAAUCUGGGGGUGAGACUGAGGCUGGGGGGAUGAAUCGUGUGCAGGGUGCUUUCUGCCUCCCUCCUCCACCUCCUCCUAGGGGCCAAAGACCUGUUUGCUGCACUUCCAGGAGCACAGGUCAGCAGAUCCCUGCUCAGCUGUGGGCUGAUAAGAGGGUUUUCCUGCCAGGGGAAUUUGUAUUCCAUGGGAGAUGCCUGAAGACCUUGUACAUCUUGUGAGCCAAAGGAUGUUUGGAUGUGAGCUGAAGUCUGGAAGUAGAAAUAGGCAGGGAGGGGCAGGGUUCUUGUGUACCCAGGAGAGGGAGCGGGAUGCUGGAGGAAGAUUGGGUGUGACCUUAAGUGCCAGCAUGAGGCCAAUGACUCUAUCCUGUGGCCCAGGGAGUCAUUGAUGGCUUAGGCUGGGCUUCCUGGACAGAGGAGCACUGGCACAGUCUCAACUACAGGCCUUGGAUCUCCAGGCCAGGGAUGCAGUGGGAGAGAUGUGCUGGGGUGGGGGGGACUCUGGGCUGCCUGUAGGCAAGUCCGACGGUGGCCAUGUCUUCUGAGAGGUCUGCUGGCUCCCAAAGCCUGGUCUACCUGCCCUGAGCUGCCCACUUGCCAGCUCUGUGUGGCCACCAGUUUUCCCUACAAGGAGCUGCUUUCCUGUGGGCUUUUUGCAACAUGACAAAAAAGAGGGGGCGGGGGACUCUCUAGCUCCCUGGAGAACCACAUCUGGUUGUACCUGAAAUUUGAGAGAAUGGCUAAUAACGCUCUGAGAAUCCGGGUGGCAUCAGCAAUUUGGAUUAUUCACCGGGUAUAAAAUGGCCCCAGACCCUCCAGCCCAGCAGGUUCCAUCACUGGAAUCACCUAAGAAACCUAAAAAAAAAAAAACAAACUGAUGCCUCGGCACUAUGUCUAGAGGUUCUGAUUUAACUGAUCUGGGGUAUGGCCCAGGCACUGGGAUUUUAUAAAGCUCCCCAGGGGAUUCUAGCGAGUGACCAGGGCUGAGAACCACUGCCCUACUGUCUUCUGCAGCUUUUCAGUCAGAAGUGAGUUGGAGGUGACAUUGAAGUUGGUCACAACUCUGUCAAAUCAAGGUACUUUCUGCAGACUUCAGGUACCAAUUCUUGCCAUCUGAGGUGCCUGUAUUACUAAGUUUCUUGAAAUGCCCUAAGGUCCUGAGAGGAGCGUUCUGGCUUCUCACCAGAAGUCCUCAGGCUUGACCUGAGAGGACCUGUUCCCAGCCUCCCUUCCCCCGCUGUCCUUCACAACUAUUCCUCCCUGCCCUGAUGCAGGAUCCUCACCUCAAUCUGCCUCCCAAGCCAUUUUUUUUUUUGACAACCAUUAAAGAUAAAUUUUAAAAAAUCAUCUAAGAAAACAUGUGUAACCCACUGGAAAUUUCAAGGCAAUGAGUCAUCACGCUCCUGGUCCCCCUCAAAUUCCUGUCUCUUAUGUAAGGAUGAGUCACUUUUUGUGAGGUCUGUGCAUCACAGGAAAAAAUUGGAAGGCUCUCAAGAGGAAGAGAGAGAGAGAUUCAUGUCAUUUGCAGCUUCAAGGGACUGGCAGUAGCUCUGAACUGACAUCAGAGAUUCCUCAUCCCUGUACUCGUUCUUUAUUUCUCUCUACUUCAUUUUCUAUCCAGUGACUUUUUUGCUCCAAAGUGCAAGAGAGAUGACUCUGCCAUCCUGCUGCCCUGCUCAGGACCGCUGUCAUUGGGGCCUGAGGACAGGCAGGCAGGGUGGGGGAUGCUCCUACUCCACUCCACAGCAUGCACAUCCUGAGUGAGGGCUGCACCCCUACUAUGUGCACGGCCUGAGAAGUGGAUAAGACAGGUCUGGGGCCCAGCUUCCACGUCUGUGUUCUGCUUAUUUCCGGUUUUCUCAGAAAAACACAGGGGCUCUAGGGCAGGGAGGGUCUAGGAGAAUAAAGAAUUGCAAGCUUUCAAGGGAGCAAAAAAAUUCAAGGGAGCCCAUUUUCUAGAGGAAUGUGGCUGUUCUUUGGGACUCUGACCAUAAAAUUGACACACAGAAAUCCAAGCAGGCAGAGGCAAAGCCAUCCUGAAAAGAGAUAAAAUGGGCUCCAGGCCAGCAAGCCCAUUGUAUCUAAGGAUAAAGUUGUUUGUCUAGGGGCCAGGUCUGCAGAAGAGGUGUAGAAAAGAGCCAGCCCCCAGGCACAGGAACACCCCUGCCAGGGAUGGGGAGUCUGGGUGUCCUCCCUGCACUGGGUGAGUCUCUGUUGGGCAGGUGGAUCCCUGGCACUGCUGCCAUCUGAGAUUUUCAAUCAUCCACACUCAGGAAGCAAAGUCCCUGGUUCUGAGUCUGGGUGCCCAGGACUGGCUCCCCAGCGACUGUGCCCACAGGGAAGGGGGGAGGGGCUGCACUUACAGAUGAGAGAGCAACCAGGUGCUCAUCAUUUUUCUUGCGAGCAAAUAAAUCCACCUUCUGGUUUGCUGCAGCAGUUCUGUGAACUUGUCUCACCUGAAUCCCUCCCUCCACUGCCAAGUGACAACCGUCUCUCACAGACGAAAGGUAAUCAGGAGAGAGCCUGCAGGUGGUGACACCAUCAGGUAAAUACCACCUCCGAGACCCACCAGCCACCCCAGCAUUGCCAGAGGACCUGCCCCUUCUUUUCUAACUUCCCAAGCUGCACACGCGGCUGUUGAGAGCUUUCAGUGUCACUAGUCUGAAUGUGCUGUAAGGGUUGUAUACAUAUGGGAUCUUGAAGACUUAGAAUGAAAAAAAAUGUAAAGUAUCUCAUUCAUAAUUGUCUAUAUUAAAUACAUGUUGAAAUGAUAAUAUUUUGUAUAUAUUAGAUGAAAUAAAAUAUCUUAUUAAAAUUAAUCUCAUGUUUCUUUUUACCUUUGGUCCUGCUCCAAGGCCCACCAAAAAUGAAAAUAAAGGGACAAAGACAAAAAGAGAAUAGACAACAGUGACAGAAUCUAGGGAGCCAAAAAUCAGAUGAAUGAGUGGUCACUGAGUUCGCCAACUAGACAAAGCUGAAUUCAACAUUGUCCUGGUUUGAUUAGCGUCCCCCUAAAACUCAUGUCCACCUGGAACCUCAGAAUGGGACCUUACUUGGAAAUAGGGUCUUUGCCGAUGUAAUUAGUUCAGAUGAGAGGUUACUAGAUUAGGGUGGGUUAUACAUCCAAUGACUGGUAUCCUUACCAGAAGACCAUGUGAAGACACAGAGACACUCACAGAAGAAGGCCAUGUGGUGACAGUGGAGGCAGAGACUGGAGUGAUGCAGCCACAAGCCAAGGAAUGUCAAGGACUGCAGCAGACAACAGACGCCAGCGAGAGGCAGGGAGGGAUUCUUUCCUAGAGCCUUCACAGGGGGCCCAGCCCUGCCGAUGCCUUGACUUCUGACUUUUGGUCUUUAGCACUGAGACCCUAAAUUUCUGUUGUUUUGUGACACCCAGUUUUUCAUAAUGUGUGGCAGCACCUUAGGAAACUAAUACACUUGGUAUGAAAGAAAGAAUGUAAAUUAUUUCAUCUGUAAUUGUUGG